UUGACGUGCUUACCAUGCAGUCGAACGCUGAAGCACCAGCUUGCUGGUGUGGAUGAAUGGCGAACGGGUGAGUAAUACGUGAGUAACCUGCCCUUGACUCUGGGAUAAGCCCGGGAAACUGGGUCUAAUACUGGAUGCUACAUGUCACCGCAUGGUGGUGUGUGGAAAGGGUUUACUGGUCUUGGAUGGGCUCACGGCCUAUCAGCUUGUUGGUGAGGUAAUGGCUCACCAAGGCGACAACGGGUAGCCGGCCUGAAAGGGUGACCGGCCACACUGGGACUGAAACACGGCCCAAACUCCUACGGGAGGCAGCAGUGGGGAAUAUUGCACAAUGGGCGAAAGCCUGAUGCAGCGACGCCGCGUGAGGGAUGACGGCCUUCGGGUUGUAAACCUCUUUCAGCAGGGAAGAAGCCACAAGUGACGGUACCUGCAGAAGAAGCGCCGGCUAACUACGUGCCAGCAGCCGCGGUAAUACGUAGGGCGCAAGCGUUGUCCGGAAUUAUUGGGCGUAAAGAGCUCGUAGGCGGUUUGUCGCGUCUGCUGUGAAAGCCCGGGGCUUAACCCCGGGUGUGCAGUGGGUACGGGCAGACUAGAGUGCAGUAGGGGAGACUGGAAUUCCUGGUGUAGCGGUGGAAUGCGCAGAUAUCAGGAGGAACACCGAUGGCGAAGGCAGGUCUCUGGGCUGUUACUGACGCUGAGGAGCGAAAGCAUGGGGAGCGAACAGGAUUAGAUACCCUGGUAGUCCAUGCCGUAAACGUUGGGCACUAGGUGUGGGGGACAUUCCACGUUUUCCGCGCCGUAGCUAACGCAUUAAGUGCCCCGCCUGGGGAGUACGGCCGCAAGGCUAAAACUCAAAGGAAUUGACGGGGGCCCGCACAAGCGGCGGAGCAUGCGGAUUAAUUCGAUGCAACGCGAAGACCUUACCAAGGCUUGACAUAUACCGGGAUCGUUCCAGAGAUGGUUCUUCCCCUUUGGGGUCGGUAUACAGGUGGUGCAUGAUGUCGUCAGCUCGUGUCGUGAGAUGUUGGGUUAAGUCCCGCACGAGCGCACCCUCGUUCAUGUUGCAGCACGUGAUGGUGGGACUCAUGGGAGACUGCGGUCACUCGAGAGUGGGAUGACGUCAUCAUCAUGCCUUAUGUUUUGGCUCACGCAUGCUCAAUGGCCGGUACAGUGCCCUUCUUGAGUGACUAUCCGAAGCCGUCAGUCGAUGAGUCUGCACUGCACUUUA
rnacentral:rRNA from 1 species